CAGCUCUUCGAGUGGUGUCCAUGAUUAUUGAGCUUAAAGCGUUCGUAGCCUGUUUGGUAGGUUCCUUCUCAAAUCCGGUCGCUUAACGGUCGGACUGGUAGGAAUACCGCCUUACUUGGGGACGGGAGACGGCGACGGUAUUCCGUAGGUAAGGGUGAAAUCUAAUGAUCUACGGAGGACCACCAGUGGCGAAGGCGGUCGUCGAGAACGUGCCCGACGGUGAGGGACGAAACCCAGGGGAGCAAAUCGGAUUAGAUACCCGAGUAGUCC
rnacentral:rRNA from 1 species